ACUGUGAGCGUGUUCAAAAGACUGGGCCAAAGGACUUUCUAGCCACAUGCAGGGUGGGGUGCAGCAGGGAAUGGCAGGCCAGCUCCUGCUUUCAUCCCUUCAGCCUUUCUUGAGGGCACACCUGCCCUCCCACGGAGCUCUAGAAGGCACAAGGCUUGGCUCUCUCCAGCAUUUAGCUGGUUCCAAGCACUCGGGAACACAGCCAUUUUUCCUGGUUUUUGAUGUUCCCGCAGCCUGAUGGUGCCUGCUUUGGGACUUCCCUUCUUCCCUGCCCUCUGUCCUCUGCACAGUAACUGUGGCCUUGGCAUAGUUCCCUUUUCUACCUCUUCCCCAAGCCAAGGGACCUGUUUCUUUCAUGCAGUCCACCCUGAUAGCAGCAUCUGUUGUGACCCUCCUGUUGUGACCGCCCCACCACAAAGGUGUCACCUGGGGGGUCUCCCCCAGGCCCGCCCUGCGCCUUCCCUCCCUCUUCUCCCCCUUCCCCGCCUGCUGUGCUGUCUCUCUCCCUCUCUUCCCUCUUUUCAUUUCUCUUCUGUUUUCUGUCCCUGUGGCAAGGCCCGACCGUCCGCUGCAUCCUGCCUGACCCUCCUGCACCUCUGGCCUCCCAGCGGCCCCCUCGUCGACGGUGGCGGCGAACCUGUAAAGACUGUUAGCUGCCUUCCAUUCCCAGGCUGGAGGGACUUCCCCAGACCUGGCCUGCAGCCGGGGCACCUCCGUUUCCCUGCCCUGACCGUCUUUUUCUUUGAUGGGUGGUGGGCAACAGACAUGGGAAGGGGCGGGUGCUGAGGAAAGGUGACUGCUGUUUUAAUAUAUUUUUGUGACUUUGAGACUGUUUCCUUCCUUCCUCCUCCUUCAGUGGAGUCACAGGUCUGUGGCUCACACGGACCCUGUGGGGCAGUAGGCACUGGUGAAAGACUGGGACUGAAGGGGAUGAUGGCGACAGUUCUCAUGGUGAGGCCUCCUCCUCCCCUUCAAACUGCAGUGCCUGUCACUACGGUGUCCCAUCAAUGUCACCAUUCUGCCACUCUGCCUGUUGGUAGCUUGCUUUUAUUUUGAGACAGGAUCUCACUCUGUAGCCCUGGCUUCCCUGGAACUUGCUAUGUAGAUCAGGCUGGCCUCCAACUCUGAAGAGCCCCGCUUCCCUCUGCCUCCCAAGCCCCAAGUGCUGGAUUAAAGGCGUGCACCACAGCCAGCUGCUUGCCUUCUUUUGUUUUUUGAAACCCAAGGUGGCUCAAACUUGCUGUAUAGUUGAGGAAGACUUAGAACGUCUCUCUUUACAAAUAAAUUUAUUUUGUGUGUAUAAAUGUUUUGUGUCUGUGUAUGUAUUAGGCACAUAAGUGCAUGAUGCUCAUGGAGACUUGGAAAAAGAUGUUGGAUACCCUGAGACUAAAGUUGAGGACAGUUUUGAGACACUUUGUGGAUUCUGGGAACAAAUCUUGUAUCCUCUGUAAGCAUCAAAUGCAUUUAACCAUUGAGCCCAUGCUUUGAGUUUUUAAUCCUCUGAUCUAGGCCGUGAGAUUUCUCACAUUAGAGGCCUGUGCCACAAUGUCAGGGCUUUAUGUGUGCCGGAGACUAGGUCCAGGCCUAUGUGAGCAUUCUGCUAGCUUCCACCGCUCCCACCCCCCUUUUUGAGACGGUGUUACUAUGUCACACAGGUUAGCCUCAAAGUCAAGAUUCUCUUGCCUCUUCCUCUGGAAUGCCACAGUUACAGGUGUUAGCUAGCACCUGGCAGCCCCUAGAUGUCAUGACAUUGUAUUGCCCAAAGAAAAGCAGUGAGGCAUGGUUGGCCUGGACACUUCAGUUGUAUGGUCAGCAGAUUCUGAGGUGACCUCAUGGGGUGAACUGAGAAGAAGAGGCAAGUUUUUAGAGUUGAGAACAUUCUGAGGGAAGGACAGCCACAGGCAAAGACCUUGAGGUGGGGCCAUGACCAGGAAGGUGACUGGCUAUGCAAAAGACAUGGCUGCUGGAUAGGAGGAAUAGCUCUUGGCAGAGACUGGAGAGUGAAUGGGAAGAAGAGGGUGGGAGCAGUUCUAAUAACUGUUAGAGUAGAGGAGCCUGGUGUGGUCGGCUAUGUGUGCAGUCCCAGCAUUCGGGAGACUCAGGCUUGAGAGUAUCUUACUUCGAGAUCAGCCUGAAAUAUAUAGCAAGAUCUUGCCUCAAAAAAUGUAAAGAUUUAAAAAAACAAAACAAAACAGGCUGGAGAGAUGGCUCAGCAGUUAAGAGCACUGACUGCUCUUCCAGGGGACCUGAAUUCAUUUCCCAGCAACCACAUGGUGGCUCACAACCAUCUGUAAUGGGAUCUGAUGCCCUCCUCUGGUGUGUGUCUGAAGAGUGACACUGUACUCAUAUACACAAAAUAAAUAAAUCUUAAAAAAAACACACAAUUUCCCCCCCCACCC
rnacentral:lncRNA from 1 species